rnacentral:lncRNA from 1 species
AUCUUUAUUGAAAUAAAAAUUAUAGUUAUCUUUUGCUAGCACAGAUACAGAAAUCAGAUUUCUACUGACUAUAGAUAUAAAAUAAUAGUCUUUCAAAAUUAAACUAAUUUUUAAUGAUAAUCGUAGAGGAUAGGCUCCGACAGUCACAGUAGUAACUCUUGCUCCAUUACCGAUCCAGAGAGUGAUCUCACCUUCUCUUAGCCCUCUAACUUCUUUCAGACCCUGUAUAGAAGUGCACAAGUGAGCACUUGAAUUAGAAUCUAGAACCCAACUAGAAGAAAAAAAAUCAUUAGAUUAGCUUUAAUUACGAGCAAAUCAGACAUAUCUUCAGAAGAUCUAUCUUUCUUCC